GACGAACGCUGGCGGCGUGCUUAACACAUGCAAGUCUAACGAAGUGGCGAACGGGUGAGUAACGCGUAAUCAACCUGCCCUUCAGACGGUGACAACAGUUGGAAACAACUGCUAAUACCGCAUACUGAAGGUGGGGAUUGCGUCGGAUUGGGUAUUUGGAGGGGUAACGGCCAACCAAGGCGAUGAUCAGUAGCCGGUCGGAGAGGAUGGUCGGGCAGAGUGGGCCUGAGCCACGGCCCAGACUCCUACGGGAGGCAGCAGUGGGGAAUCUUCCGCAAUGGACGAAAGUCUGGCGGAGCAACGCCGCGUGAGUGAUGACGGCCUUCGGGUUGUAAAGCUCUGUUAAUCGGGACGCGGUACCGGAAUAGAAAGCCACGGCUAACUACGUGCCAGCAGCCGCGGUAAUUC
rnacentral:rRNA from 1 species